UGCGGUUUAUUCAGGAACGAUAGAAGCGAGUCGAGUGUGUGUUUAUGGGUGAGCCAUUCAUAGAGCUUUAAGCAUUCAUUCAUUCAAGCGAUUCUUUUGAUUCAUUCGUGUUGCUCGGAGACGGAUUCUGUUUUGGGUUCGUUUGGAACUGUUUCGGUGGCUGUUCGAAACCAGACAACGUACUUGACAAUCGUGUCUAAAAUCAACAGGACAUGACUUGGCGACAUAUAGACGAGAGACUAUUGAGUUGCUUCUGUACUUGUGCUGUAACCCGGGCAAUCAGGCCGAGAGCAGUUCAACUGGAAUCUUAAACACAUCGUGAAGAUUUGCUGUCAUACUUGGGGAAAAUGAAUUAUGUUGACAUAUGGCUGAAAACAAUGGUGGAAAGGCAUGCAACGCAAGGCAAUGAAGAAUCAUGCGGUGUUGUGGAGGAGAGGAUCUGGAGCUGUUCCUUUGAGCCCUCUAUGACAGGUAUACAGAGCCACAUGACAGCACAGUAUUUCAGUGAUAAAUGCAGUGGGUCUGGGACUUCCAUUCACUAAACUCAGGAGUGUGCCGGGCUGAUACUUCAAGGUCAAGUGAAUAUGAAAGAGCCGAGCCACACAGCUUGCUAAAAAGAACGAGAGAGCCUCCUCUUGAACUUGGACAACUUCUAAAUGUUAUGUUGCUUAGAUUCAUGUGACGUGCUUUAUAAGCACAGAUGUUGUGUUACGGCACCAUUCCAUGAUUGUUGGAUGCUUGUGAUUUUAAAAAUCCAUAAUCUGUCAGUCGCACUUGCUAUAUUCAAUCUAGUUCAUUUACACACUGAUAAUAAAAAUGACAACGCCUAUAUAAAAAUGAUGGUGAAACUCUGCGUGACACACACACACACAUGCACUCAGUCGCAGCCAAAACAAUUGAAUUACAGGGCUUGUGGCAUGUUGUCUUACUCUGUGAUAUGUGUGAAAUGGUUAAUUAAAGGUGAGCUCAUUAUUCUUGCUCAGGAUCCAGUAACUGUGUUAACAUGAUCCAUGACUAAUAUAUCACCCACUUAUUGCUCCUGAAGAAUUGAAUCAAUUGCUCUGAACACCAAUUCAUACACAAGAGUUGAAGUAAAUAUGCCACUAUAAAUUCUACUGUUUGAUCUGUAUUGUUCAGGAAGAUGUGUGUAAAUCAAAAGCGUAUGUGUGUUAAAUAUGUAUCAAACUAUAACAGAACAAAAUCAUGUGGUGUACAGUGUUUAAGCGAAAUCGCCUAAUAUCACAUUUGAUUACUGAACAUGAUUGGGGAUAUAGGCUAUCUGUAAAUGUUGCUGUACUGUUUCCAUAUUUAUCUGUUACAAAUUAAAGUCGUUUAGA